AUUGAACGCUGGCGGCAUGCUUUACACAUGCAAGUCGAACGGCAGCGCGGGCUUCGGCCUGGCGGCGAGUGGCGAACGGGUGAGUAAUGCAUCGGAACGUGCCCAGUAGUGGGGGAUAGCCCGGCGAAAGCCGGAUUAAUACCGCAUACGACCUGAGGGUGAAAGCGGGGGACCGAAAGGCCUCGCGCUAUUGGAGCGGCCGAUGUCGGAUUAGCUAGUUGGUGGGGUAAAGGCUUACCAAGGCGACGAUCCGUAGCUGGUCUGAGAGGACGACCAGCCACACUGGGACUGAGACACGGCCCAGACUCCUACGGGAGGCAGCAGUGGGGAAUUUUGGACAAUGGGGGCAACCCUGAUCCAGCCAUGCCGCGUGCGGGAAGAAGGCCUUCGGGUUGUAAACCGCUUUUGUUCGGAAAGAAAUCCUCUGGGCUAAUACCCCGGGGGGAUGACGGUACCGGAAGAAUAAGCACCGGCUAACUACGUG
rnacentral:rRNA from 1 species